CCUGUCUGGGAUAUCCGAGACUCUGUCUCAAAAAACAGAACAAACGUGAAGAAAAGGAAAGACAGAAAAAGGAAAUGCUGGAGAGGAGGACACAGGGCGGCCAGGGGGAGUGAGAGGCGGGAACUGUUGGUUCCUUCUCAGAUUUCUCUCCUCGAGAUGACACCCAGGCAUUACUGAUGAGAAGGGUGUCACAGAGAAGCUGAGACUGCUGGAGGACAGGCGGGGUAAUUGCAGCAGCAGAGUCUCCCUGAGAAGGGGUGGAUCGGAGUGUUAAUGACACCUGUAUCACAUAACCUGUGAGUCACUGGGGCCUAUAACCUGUGAGUCACUGGGGCCUGCACCUGACCUCGGGAAUCACCGUUCUGCAACUGUUGGGAGCCUCCAGACUACACUUUAACCUUUCUUUGAGAGGCCCUAAUCCGAAUUCCCCUUCAGGACCCAGAGGAAGAAGCCUGCUCGUAUAUCAAGUGAGAGCUGCCUGGCGACCUAGGCCCUGAUACUCGAGGCUCCUGAGGUGAAGUAGGUGGGGGCACGCCUGACUGACAUCUUGAAGGAAUCAUAGAACCAGUGUGGCUGGAGCUGAGUCAGCAAAGAAGCUUGAGUUGGACAGACAGACUUAACAAGAACAGCCUCACUGAGUCACCUGCCUCCACAGCUGGAGCCUCUCUGAGCACACCUUCCUGACCAUCAUGGAUUCUACCCUCCAGCUGUGAGCCAGAAGGAACUCUUUCUUCUUUCAGUUGCUUUUGUGAGGUAUUUUGUCACAACAGUGAGGAAAAGGAACUGCUUGGGAUUCCUGUUGGACAGCCAAGAGGAGGUGCCACAUCGGAAGCUGGUAUCUGGAGAGCCCUGGGCAGGGGUCCGGACUGGCAGUAGAAACUGGGUGGGGUCAAAUCAGAGUCCCGCGCUAGAUCAGCUGUUGGCUAGGGCGUUAAAAGAGAUGAGAAGACAUAUUUGGACUGAGCCCAGGAGCCCUCAGAACCUUUGGAAAUGGGGAAAUGGGAGUGAUUCUGUGAAGGGGAGCAUUGGAUAAGAAAGGGCAGAUCAUUCUGCUGAAGCCACCUUGUGUUUUUAGGGUCACUUCUCAAAAAGAGGAGGAGGAGGGAAAAACUCUUAAGUUGUGAAAAAUAUUUGUACCAACAAACAAAUACUCUAACAUUGAAAUUCAGACCAAGAAAGAUGUUAGGAUUAAGACAAAGGCUAGGGAUUUUAUGGUGAGAAAGAAUACAAAUUAAUGUGAAAAAUACUUAGACCCUAACAGGAAACAUACAAAGGAUAUGAACAGACAGUUCACAAAGAAGGAAGUAAAACUAGUAAACAAAGGUUUAGAAAACGUGUGACAUCAUCAACAAGGAGAGAAAUACAGAUUAAAACUACAAGAUGAUAUGUUUUCAACCAUUAAAUGAACAAAAGGCUUUUCAUGCCAGUUUACCCAGUAAUUCCAGUUCAGGGAAAUCUAAGAAACUAAGUAAAAAUGUGGAUGAAAAACUUGACCACAAUUUUAUCCACAAUUAUAGAAAAUAAUUCCAGUGCUAGCACUGAGAGACUAGCUUUGAAAAUUGUGGCAUAGUCAUACUAUUACCUGUGGUGAUUUGAAUGCAAAUGGUGGCCCCAUAGACUCACAUAUUUGAAUGCUUAGUCACCAGGGAGUGGCACUACUUGAGAAGGAUUAAAAGGAUCGAAGGUGUGGCCUUGCUGGAGUAGGUGUGGUCUUAAUGGAGAAAGUUUGUCACUGGGCUUUAAGGUUUCAAAGCCGAUGCCAGGCCCAGCUUUUCUCUCUCUCUCUGCCGGCCUGCUGGCCUGCAGAUGAGGACGAGAACUCUCAGGUACUGCUCCAGCGUGUGUGCUGCUGUGCUCCCCACCAUGAUGAUCAUGGACUAAGCCACUAACUGUAAACAAGCCCCCAAUUAAAUGCUUUCCUUUAUAAGACUUGCCUCAGCCAUAGUGGGUCUUCACAGCAGCAGAACAGUGACUUAAGACUUUACUAAAUUAUUAAUAUUAAACUACAGAGAUGUAUAAAAUAUCUAGGAAGAAUUUAUGGUAAUGGGAAAAUGUAUAUAUUGCGUUAAUCUGUAAGAAGGAUUGGGGUUGUGUAGAUGGCUCAGGUGCUAAGUGCCCAUCACAUAGCGUAAACACUCUCACUAGAGCCCACAUAGAACUAAAAAGCCAGGAGGAAAGGGAAAACCAGUACGUGUUUACCCAUAGUCACACAGGAAGGCAUUCUUUCCUGCAGGGCCCCUUUGUAGAGCCCUGUACUGAGUAUUGGGAGUACAGAGAUAACUCAGAAAGUUCUGCUCUGGGUCUAACUGAAAUUUGGAAACUGAUCUGCCUUUAGCCUCCCAAACCUGAACAUGCUGAUCUCAUCUGAAAAACUGUGCCUCAGAAGUAAAUAAUACAGUCUGAAAGAUGUGAAUAUAACGGGGGUCUAAAAAGAACACAGCAAAAUGAAGCUCAGUUUAAGGUGGCGGCUGGCUGCACAGCUGGGCCUCCCAUGUCCCUGCUCAUGUCUGCACCCUCUGCUGAGUUCUUGGAGAGCCCCCUAUAGGAAGGAAGGUGCCCUGAGGGCAGGAAGUCAAGGCUGGGGUGUGUGUGUAGGUCCAUGGUAUAGUUCUUACUGGAUAGGUUUGAGUAAGGUGCUAAGUCAGUGUUCUAUUGCUGUGAACAGACACCAUGACCAAGGCAACUCUUACAAAAGAAAGCAUUUGACUGGGGACUUGCUUACAGCUUUAGAGGGUUAGUCCAUGGUCAUCAUGGUGGGCAGCACACAGGCAUGGCGCUGGAGCAGUGGCUGAGAGCUUCACAUCCUGAUCUGCAGGCAGCAGGUAGAGAGAACCUCUGGGCCUGGUAGAGGCUUUUGAAACCUCUAGGGCCACCCCCAGUGACACACCUUCUCCAACAAGGGCACAGCCACUCCUUCCCAAACAGCUCAUGGGGCGUAAGCACACAUAUAAGUGUGCCUGUGGGGGCCGUUCUCAUUCAAACCACCACAAAGGCCUGAGUA